GAUGAAGAACGUAGCGAAAUGCGAUAAGUAAUGUGAAUUGCAGAAUUCAGUGAAUCAUCGAAUCUUUGAACGCACUUGCGCCCGCCAGUAUUCUGGCGGGCAUGCCUGUCUGAGCGUCAUUUCAACCCUCAUGCCCCUAGGGCGUGGUGUUGGGGAUCGGCCAAAGCCCGCGAGGGACGGCCGGCCCCUAAAUCUAGUGGCGGACCCGUCGUGGCCUCCUCUGCGAAGUAGUGAUAUUCCGCAUCGGAGAGCGACGAGCCCCUGCCGUUAAACCCCCAACUUUCCAAGGUUGACCUCAGAUCAGGUAGGAAUACCCGCUGAACUUAAGCAUAUCAAUAAGCGGAGGA
rnacentral:misc_RNA from 1 species